GAUGAACGCUGGCGGCGUGCCUAAUACAUGCAAGUCGAGCGGUAAGGCUCCUGCAGUUUAUUUGAUUAUGAUUGCGCUCGCAGAGUAAACCAGUUUACUGGUGUGCGAAGCGAAGGCAAUCACAACAGACCCAAUCAACCCCGGCUAGGGAAGAGACGGCGAGGGAAAAUCGAAUGAAGUGCUGGAGUACACGAGCGGCGGACGGCUGAGUAACGCGUAGGAACGUACCCCAAACUGAGGGAUAAGCACCAGAAAUGGUGUCUAAUACCGCAUGUGCUCUAAGGAGUAAAGCUUCGGCGGUUUGGGAACGGCCUGCGUACGAUUAGAUUGUUGGUGAGGUAAUGGCUCACCAAGUCGACGAUCGUUAGCUGGUCUGAGAGGAUGAUCAGCCAGACUGGGACUGAGAACGGCCCAGACUCCUACGGGAGGCAGCAGUAGGGAAUUUUCCACAAUGGACGAAAGUCUGAUGGAGCAACGCCGCGUG
rnacentral:rRNA from 1 species